AGUACCUGGCCGGGAUUUGACGUUGAUCAAAAAGACCGUUAGACACCCCUGGAGUGCCACAUUGCACUUUUCUUCGGAAAUUCGUGUGUAUGAAAGGGGUCUAUUUAUCACUAGUUGGUGGAUAGACGGCGUAAUUUUUCGACACUGGGAAUAAGCGCUUGCGCUCUCCUGG
rnacentral:snRNA from 14 species